rnacentral:rRNA from 1 species
AUUGAACGCUGGCGGCAGGCUUAACACAUGCAAGUCGAACGAGUGGCGGACGGGUGAGUCAUGUCUGGGAAACUGCCCGAUGGAGGGGGAUAACUACUGGAAACGGUAGCUAAUACCGCAUACCAUCGGAUCUGCGCAGAUGGGAUUGGCUGGGAGGUGGGGUAACGGCUCACCUGGGUGGCGAUCCCUAGCUGGUCUGAGAGGAUGACCGGCCGCCCGGGAGCGUAGACAGGGUCCAGAGUCCUGAGGGAGGCAGCAGAGGGGAAUAUGGGACAGUGGGGGGGAGCCUGACGCAGCCAUCGCGCGUGUAUGGCGGAGGCCUUCGGGUGGUAAAGUACGCUCAGCGGGGAGGCGGUACAUGGAGAAGAAGCACCGGCUAACUCCGUGCCAGCAGCCGCGGUAAUAC